UCAGAGCUGCGGCGUGCUUAACACAUGCAAGUCGAACGGAAAGGCCCCUUCGGGGGUACUCGAGUGGCGAACGGGUGAGUAACACGUGGGCAAUCUGCCCUGCACUUCGGGAUAAGCCUGGGAAACUGGGUCUAAUACCGGAUAGGACCUUUAGGCGCAUGUCUUUAGGUGGAAAGCUUUUGCGGUGUGGGAUGGGCCCGCGGCCUAUCAGCUUGUUGGUGGGGUGAUGGCCUACCAAGGCGACGACGGGUAGCCGGCCUGAGAGGGUGUCCGGCCACACUGGGACUGAGAUACGGCCCAGACUCCUACGGGAGGCAGCAGUGGGGAAUAUUGCACAAUGGGCGCAAGCCUGAUGCAGCGACGCCGCGUGGGGGAUGACGGCCUUCGGGUUGUAAACCUCUUUCACCAUCGACGAAGGUUCGGGUUUUCUCGGAUUGACGGUAGGUGGAGAAGAAGCACCGGCCAACUACGUGCCAGCAGCCGCGGGUAAAUAGAUGAAUCACACAUCUCCUCUUGUCUG
rnacentral:rRNA from 2 species